rnacentral:rRNA from 1 species
UACGAAGGGGGCUAGCGUUGUUCGGAAUUACUGGGCGUAAAGCGCACGUAGGCGGACCUGUCAGUCAGAGGUGAAAUCCCGGAGCUUAACUUCGGAACUGCCUUUGAUACUGCAGGUCUUGAGGAUGGGAGAGGUGAGUGGAACUGCGAGUGUAGAGGUGAAAUUCGUAGAUAUUCGCAAGAACACCAGUGGCGAAGGCGGCUCACUGGCCCAUUACCGACGCUCAGGCGCGACAGCGUGGGGAGCAAACAGG